rnacentral:rRNA from 1 species
ACAUACGACCAUAGGUAGUGGAGAAUUCGGGGUCUCGUCUGCUCCCCCAGAGACAAGCCACUAACCGGCAGAUUAGUAGUUGAGUGGGAGA